GACAGAGGUGCCGAGCGUUAGGCGGAAUCACUGGGCUUAAAGCGUGUGUAGGCGGACUUCUAAGUACCUUGUGAAAUCCCACGGCUCAACCGUGGAACUGCUGGGUAUACUGGGCGUCUUGGGCCAUUCAGGGGCGACUGGAACAAGCGGUGGAGCGGUGAAAUGCGUAGAUAUCGCUUGGAACGCCGAAGGUGAAAACAGGUCGCUGGGGAUGUGCCGACGCUGAGACACGAAAGCCAGGGGAGCAAACGGG
rnacentral:rRNA from 1 species